rnacentral:lncRNA from 1 species
UCUGCCGACGUUCUUUGGAAGAGUGUGCACGCGAGCUGGUUGCGUUCUCUGAACCGCAGAACUUUGACUACGCAGGUCUAGGGACUUCCUGGGGUGGAUAAUAGGUCUGGGUAGAGGCUGGGAAUUUGCUUUGUGCUUCUGUGUUGGUUGUGGGAAGCAGCCAGAGUAAAUGGGUAGUAGCAGAAACGGUUGAAUGCAGUGACUUUAAUAUUGUACUAUGUUAAAAACUACCAACUUUUAAGGUUGCUGUCACAUCUUACUUCAUCGUCACAGUCUUGUUAAUAAGCCUGAUGUGCAGAUGAGGAAAUUGAUGUAAGCAUGAAAAGGUUACCCACUAGCAAGAGAUGAGAUGAAAAACCUGACUUUGUCUAAUGCACACGUGUGCUUUUACAUGAAGAACCCAGCUUCAGAGGUGAGGUUUCCAUCCUCACCCCUGAAUUUUCUGAGAGUAUUAUCAGAGCCCCUUGGAAACAAUCUUUUCUCUCAUUCUUCUUUUGACAAAAGCAGAAACACAUCCAGAGAGGUGAAGUGACUUUCCUAAAAUCACCCCAAGAGUCAAUGUUAGAGAAGACUGUGUAACUAAAUCUAUUAUCUCAAACCUGACCUCGGGCAAAGGAGGAUGAAAAACUUUAAG